rnacentral:SRP_RNA from 12 species
AGGGUCAUCUUCCACGUGCGUCGGUGGGGCUCGUCGUCCGAGACGAGACGGCAUCGGACGUGGAUCCCCGCGAACCGGGUCAGGUCCAGGGGCGUUUCGAACGGCAGCGUCCGCAUGCCGCAGA